CCUACGGGGGGCUGCAGUGGGGAAUAUUGCACAAUGGGGGAAACCCUGAUGCAGCAACGUCGCGUGAGCGAAGAAGGCUUUCGAGUCGUAAAGCUCUGUCCUAAGGGAAGAAACCUGACGGUACCGUAGGAGGAAGCCCCGGCUAACUGCGUGCCAGCAGCCGCGGUAAUACGGAGGGGGCAAGCGUUAUCCGGAAUCACUGGGCGUAAAGGGUGCGUAGGCGGCUAAACAAGCCAGGGGUGAAAGGCUACGGCUUAACCGUAGUAAGCCCUUGGAACUGAAUAGCUUGAGUGCAUGAGAGGAUUGUGAAGUUACUAGUGGAGCGGUAUAAUGCAGAGGAUGUAAGAGUUGGUCAAAUGUCGAAGGCGACCCUCUGGUUUGUAAUGGGAGCGGGGGGGUGAAAGCGUUGAGUGCCAACAGAUUUAGAUACCAGGGUAGCC
rnacentral:rRNA from 1 species